AAGGAGAUAGGGAGACGGGCCGGGCGCCGGAGAGGAACCCGGACUCUGCCCAAAGUCUCGCCGCCCGCCGGCUGUUUUCUGGCGGAGGGUGUGUCCCGGAGGGCGGCGAGCGCGGGUGAAGGCUGGGGCCAGGCGCGGGUGGAGGCGUCACCGGGGUCGGGCUAGCAGGCCCUGGAAUCAGGCUUUUGGGACAUCCCGAAAAUUGGAUGACUGAUUAUUGGACAGAAUGGCAUCUUGUCAACACCUGCGGUCUCCUGCAUUAUCAGGAAGAUCAAGGCAGCUGGUGGAAUCAUUCUAACAGCCAGCCACUGCCCUGGAGGACCAGGGGGAGAGUUUGGAGUGAAGUUUAAUGUUGCCAAUGGAGGUCCUGCACCCGAUGUUGUCUCAGACAAAAUCUACCAAAUCAGCAAAACGAUUGAGGAAUAUGCUAUAUGUCCUGAUCUCCAAAUCGACCUAUCUCGACUAGGAAGACAAGAAUUUGACCUAGAGAACAAAUUCAAACCAUUCAGAGUGGAGAUAGUGGACCCAGUGGAUAUCUAUCUUAACCUCCUUCAGACCAUCUUUGACUUUCAUGCCAUCAAGAGUUUGCUGACUGGGCCCAGCCAACUGAAGAUUCGCGUUGAUGCAAUGCAUGGAGUUAUGGAACCUUAUGUGAGAAAAGUUCUGUGUGAUGAGCUGGGGGCCCCAGCCAAUUCUGCAAUAAACUGUGUUCCCCUGGAAGACUUUGGAGGGCAGCACCCUGACCCAAACCUGACAUAUGCAAUGACUCUUCUGGAAGCAAUGAAAGGAGGAGAAUAUGGAUUUGGAGCUGCAUUUGAUGCUGAUGGGGACCGUUAUAUGAUCCUAGGCCAAAAUGGCUUCUUUGUGAGCCCUUCUGACUCCCUGGCCAUCAUUGCUGCCAACCUCUCUUGCAUUCCAUAUUUCCAUCAGAUGGGGGUCCGCGGGUUUGGGAGGAGUAUGCCAACCAGCAUGGCCCUGGACAGAGAGACAUCUGGUGAUACUAUCUGUUGAUUGCAAAGAAAAAUAUACCCGACUAAUAAGAAGAAAAUGAAUGGUGCAUAAUGACCCAAUCUCCUUUGGAUAUAAUAAAACUAUGCCUGAUUUGUGGUCUUCAUUUA
ensembl:lncRNA PGM5P2 phosphoglucomutase 5 pseudogene 2